GGAUGAGGUCUUAAAAAUUCAUUUAGUCCAUACCUCCACUUCAGAGCAAAGUUUCUUUCUCACUGUUCCUGGAAAUUCCCUGUAUUCCCACUUUCCUUGCAAGUGGUUUCCCCAUCCUGUCUGUCCCCGUUGUUCUCCUGUGCUACACCAGAACAAUUUCCUUCAGUUGCAGCACAGGUCACAACCCGAGCCCUGACUGCAGAAACCGUUGCGCCCCAGCCCCAGCCUCUCAAGGGAGGACUCCGGGGGGAGGGACCACUCCUCAAAGCCAGCAAUCAAAUCAUCUUUCUGAUCUGCAUCCCUUCUGCUUCAGCCCAGCUGGUCUCCACUCUCCCCUGGUCCACACCCCGCCCCACCUGCUGACAGCCCAGUGCGACAUAUCCUCCCAAUCUUGGCUCCACCGCUGAUCCUCCGACAUUCAAUUUACAGAGCCUCUUGAGCCCCGGAACCCUUGUGUAACUGAGGAAUCCACAGUCUCAAUCGGCAGGAAAGGAGCCCUGGUCUCCGAAAUCGCCUGAAGUUCAUGAGAUUCUCAUUCUGCUCAAAACAAAGAAGACACUUAAGCCUCACCCAGGCAGCAAGACCACAGCCCACGGACUUCCACCCAGAUCUCAAGCUGCUCCAGGUGGGUGCAUCUGGUUUCCCAGGCUCCAGACUGGCCACUCAGCUCACUGACCUUGACUCCCUGGCGCCUGCUGGGUCUGGGGGUGAGCACAGACCUACAAUCACCAGCUCAGUCAACAACCUCACCCAGGGGCUAGGAGACUCAGUCAGGGCAAGGCCUUUGGCAGGCAGCCUCCCAGUGAUGACCUGGCCUGUGGAGCAUAUUGUGCACAGCAGAUAUACAAUAGGUGUGUGCUGAGAGAACCGAGCUUCCCCUGCCCUGAGUGGGAGAGAGCUACAUUGUCAGGUCGGGUGACCAUGCCUGUGGGUGUGACGGAGUAGGGGGUUUGGCAUUUGUGGCUCAGAGACCCCGUAGACCAGACACUCUGAGCCCCAGAGCGAACAGCCUGGGCAGGGCAGAGAGCCAGGAGCUCCUCACUCCUGCUCUUGUUCCAGCCUAUUCGCUCGCACCCUGACUGCUCCCACCCACAGUCCCGGCCCUCAGUUAGCCUCUCACUUGCGUCCUGCAGCAGCUAAGGCAACCUAGACUAGGGCUUCAGUGGGGUGGGGGGUCAAAAUGCUCCCCCUCUCAACCACAUGCUUUUUAACAGCACCGGUAAGACUCGGCACUAGCGCCCCCUGUUGUUGGCCUAACUUGACUGCUUUGGCCAUGGGUCCCAUCCUUCUCCUCGCCAGAGAUGGCAGGAUCAUCCUUAGCCCCAGGGUCCUGCUCAGAGGGGAGACACCAGCCCAGCCCACACACCUUCACUGCGGCUUCCAAGUUUUCUUUUUCACAUCACUUACGCUGCCUCCUUUCUUGUUUUGUUGACUUUGGUGCUGUCUGUUUGCUUUGGCUAAGCCUACAGCCCCAGGAUGAAACCUUGGAACUGGGGGAAGUGUGAGCCUGAGAGACAGCA